rnacentral:rRNA from 1 species
GCCAGCAGCCAUAUCAACCUACACCACAACUGGCAACCCAGUGAACCUAAGCAGGUGUGAGCCUGGUUAGUACCUGGAUGAGAGACCUCCUGGGAAAAACUAAGGUUGCUGCUGGAA